rnacentral:rRNA from 1 species
GACGAACGCUGGCGGCGUGCCUAAUACAUGCAAGUCGAACGCAGUGGGGACGGUUUAUUAACACGUGGGUAACCUCCCAUCAGAGGGGAUAACACUUGGCAACUGGUGCUAACCCAUACUGAUGGAGGCACCCGCGGGGCAUGAGCUAGUUGGUGCGGUAACGUCUCACCAAGGCCACGAUGCAUAGCCGGCCUGAGAGGGUGAUCGGCCACACUGGGACUGAGACACGGCCCAGACUCCUACGGGAGGCAGCAGUAGGGAAUCUUCGGCAAUGGACGAAAGUCGGACCGAGCAACGCCGCGUGAGUGAAGAAGGUUUUCGGAUCGUAAAACUCUGUUGUUAGAGAAGCGGUAUCUAACCAGAAAGCCACGGCUAACUACGUGCCAGCAGCCGCGGUAAUUC